rnacentral:rRNA from 1 species
GUGAGGAAUAUUGGUCAAUGGACGGAAGUCUGAACCAGCCAUGCCGCGUGAAGGAAUAAGGCCCUACGGGUCGUAAACUUCUUUUGUGGUGGAGCAAUAAGACGUACGCGUACGUCGAUGAGAGUACAUCACGAAUAAGCAUCGGCUAACUCCGUGCCAGCAGCCGCGGUAAUACGGAGGAUGCAAGCGUUAUCCGGAUUUAUUGGGUUUAAAGGGUGCGUAGGCUGUGUAGCAAGUCAGUGGUGAAAGCCCGGUGCUCAACACCGGAACUGCCAUUGAUACUGUUGCGCUGGAAUACGGAUGCCGUGGGAGGAAUGAGUAGUGUAGCGGUGAAAUGCAUAGAUAUUACUCAGAACACCGAUUGCGAAGGCAUCUCACGAAUCCGUCAUUGACGCUGAGGCACGAAAGCGUGGGGAUCAAACAGGAUUAGAAACCCGGGUAGUCC